rnacentral:rRNA from 1 species
GACGAACGCUGGCGGCGUGCCUAAUACAUGCAAGUCGAGCGGAUGGAAGGGAGCUUGCUCCCGGAAGUCAGCGGCGGACGGGUGAGUAACACGUGGGCAACCUGCCCUUGAGAUCGGGAUAACUUCGGGAAACCGGAGCUAAUACCGGAUAGGUUCUUCCCUCACAUGAGGGAGAGGGAAAGACGGUUUCGGCUGUCACCCAAGGAUGGGCGCGCGGCGCAUUAGCUAGUUGGUGGGGUAACGGCUCACCAAGGCGACGAUGCGUAGCCGACCUGAGAGGGUGGUCGGCCACACUGGGACUGAGACACGGCCCAGACUCCUACGGGAGGCAGCAGUAGGGAAUCUUCCGCAAUGGACGAAAGUCUGACGGAGCAACGCCGCGUGAGUGAAGAAGGUUUUCGGAUCGUAAAACUCUGUUGUCAGGGAAGAACAAGUACCAUAGUAACUGAUGGUACCUUGACGGUACCUGACCAGAAAGCCACGGCUAACUACGUGCCAGCAGCCGCAGUAAAAC